UACGUAGGGCGCAAGCGUUGUCCGGAAUUAUUGGGCGUAAAGAGCUCGUAGGCGGCUUGUCACGUCGGAUGUGAAAGCCCGGGGCUUAACUCCGGGUCUGCAUUCGAUACGGGCUGGCUAGAGUGUGGUAGGGGAGAUCGGAAUUCCUGGUGUAGCGGUGAAAUGCGCAGAUAUCAGGAGGAACACCGGUGGCGAAGGCGGAUCCCUGGGCCAUUACUGACGCUGAGGAGCGAAAGCGUGGGGAGCGAACAGG
rnacentral:rRNA from 1 species